AUGCAGCAAAAAGGCCCGGGGGCGCGCAGGCGCGCGCGUGUGCCUGUGUGUGUGCCUGUGUGUGUGUGUGCGUGUGUGUGCGCGCCCCCCUCCCCACCCCCCUCCCCACCCCCCCACCCGGCCCGAGGGCGAGCCGGGCCCUCCCUAGGUGGCACAAUGCCCGUUGGGGGGCGGGCAGGGGUGGGCAAGGGAGAGGCGGCUCUGGCUUUCUCCUCGUCCCCCCCGUUCCGUUCCCCCCUCGCCCCUUCUCCUUUCCUCGUCCUCCUGCGGAUCGCCUUCCACCCCGCACCCCCUUCCCCGGGAGCGGACCCUUACCCGGGGCUGGCGAGGGGGCGCUUCUCCCGCCGCGGGCGUCCACUGCGGUCACCGCUGCCGCUCCACGCGCCUGGACAGCCAGGUGGACGCGCCUCCCUCCGUCUCUCCGUCUCUCCUCCCCCUCCUCCUCCUCCCUCCGUCUCCGCUCCCUCCUCCUCCUCCUCCUCCCCCCUCGGUGUCUCCUCCUCCUCCUCCCCCCCCUCCCCCGUGUCUGCCGCCCCCUCCCCCCGCCCGUCCGUCCGUCCGCCCUCCGGGCGGUGCGGCCCCGGGGGCGGGGGGUCCGGGUUUCGGGGGGCGGCCCGGGGAGGGUCCCCCGCCCCCCCGUCCGUGUCGGGCCCGGGCCGCCGCCGGAGGCCCGAGCGGGCCAUGGGGGGGCGGGGAGGGGGAGGGGGAGGGGGAGGAGGGGAGGGGGCGCGCACGGCGAGGCCGAGGGGCACCGGGGCAGCGGGUGGGGGGCGGAGGCGCCCGGGGAGGGGCGGGACGCGGGGGCGCCCGGGGAGGGGGACACGCCACCAGGGGACUGACACUGCUGCUGCUCUUCUUCCUCCUCCCCUCCCUCCUCCUCCUCCUCCUCCUCCUCUCCUCCCCCCGAGCCACCGUGGGAGCUGCUGCUGCUUCUCUCCCUCCUCCUCUUUCUCCCUUCCUCCCCUUUCCUCCUCCUCUUCCUCCCCCUUCCUCCUCCUUCCUCCUCUCUUCCUCCCCUUUCCUCCCCCCUUCCUCCCCCUUCCUCCUCCUCUCCCUUCCUCCUCUCUUCCUCCUCUCUUCCUCCCCCUUCCUCCUCCUCUUCCUCCCGCUCCCCCUCCUUCCCUGAAGUCCCCUUGGCCCAUUGUCUCCUCCCCUGCCCGCGCCUGA
rnacentral:lncRNA from 1 species